UCGCUUUUGGACACUUUAGAGGAUGCUCGAGUCGUUCAGAAACAUGACGUGUAUUCCAUUGCUUGAGCCCAUUAUCAAAUGCAACUCUUACAAGCAUCAAGCAACAGCGUAGUAAUAAAAGAUGUCAUCCUCAUAUGUGAUCUUGAAGAAGAGCUGCAUAAAAUGGCAAAUGAUAUUGAUGAUGCUCAAGCAGAACUGGACUCGGUGGAGGCCGAGUUGGAGAUGGUGGAACUGCAGAUCUCCGAGCUGCUGGAGAAACAGACCAAGCUGAGCUCCAGGAAGAACAAACUUCUGCAGAUCCUGGAGGGAGCCUGCAGCUCGGCCCAGCCCUCUGGAUCCAGCAAACCUCCCAAACCGUCAUUCAGCAGACAGGACCUACAGCACUACGAGGAGUCAGAUUUUUCAUGGUCUAAAGAAGCUCAGGCCAAGCUGUGUAACAUGUUCCAGCUCUCCAAAUUUCGCCCCCUGCAACGGGCGGCCAUAAAUCUCAGCAUGUCAGGGAAAGACCUUUUCCUGGUAAUGCCCACUGGACGAGGAAAAAGCCUGUGUUACCAACUUCCAGCCCUCUGCUCUAAGGGGUUUACGUUAGUUAUCGCUCCGUUGGUGUCUCUAAUGGAGGAUCAGCUGAUGUAUCUGAAGUGCAUUAAUGUCCCGGCUGUAACUCUCAAUGCCUCCAGUACAAAGGAGGACUCCAAGCAGGUGCUGGCAGGGAUGACGGAUAAAAACAGCCCCUUCAAAUUGCUCUAUGUAACCCCGGAGAAAAUCGCCAAGAGCAAACUACUGAUGUCCAAACUUGAAAAGUCCUACAACAUGGGUCUGCUGGCACGCAUCGCCGUCGAUGAAGUUCACUGCUGCAGUCAGUGGGGGCACGACUUCAGGCCAGAUUACAAGCUCCUGGGUAUCCUAAAGCGCCAGUUCCCCAAAGUCCCGUUGGUCGGACUGACUGCCACAGCCACCAGCAACGUUCUUAAAGACUGCCAGAAGAUUCUGUGUGUUCAAGAACCGAUCACACUGACAGCACCGUUCAACAGACCAAACCUUUACUAUGAAGUUCGUUUUAAACAUAACGAAGACUGUACCCACCAAAUUGCAGAACUGAUUAAAGAAAGAUACAAAAACCAGUCAGGAAUCGUGUAUGUGUUCUCCCAGAAGGAUGCAGAAGUUGUCGCUACAGACCUGCAGAAGAGGAAUAUUGUUGCUCAGCCGUACCACGCCAACAUGGAGCCUUCAGACAAGUCUCUGGUGCAUCAGCGGUGGUCCUCCAAGAAGAUCCAGGUGGUCGUUGCCACUGUGGCUUUUGGGAUGGGCAUUGACAAGGCUGAUGUGCGAUUUGUUAUCCAUCACACCAUCAGCAAAUCCAUCGAAAAUUACUAUCAGGAGAGUGGACGUGCAGGAAGGGAUGAUGGCUCAGCGGAUUGUAUAGUAUUCUUCGGGUUUGCAGACAUCUUCAGAUUAAGCACAAUGGUUGUGAUGGAGAACACUGGGCAGCAGAAGCUACAUAAUAUGGUGGCAUAUUGUCAAAAUGUGGACCGGUGUCGUCGUGCUAUGAUGGCCAUUCACUUUGAUGAAGUGUGGAAUGAUGACGAGUGCAACCAAAUGUGUGAUGUCUGUCGGCACGGCAAUGACUACAUCACAAUGGACAUCACCACACAUGCUCGAGAUGUUGUCACCAUAGUAGAAAUGGCCAGCUCUAUGGAUGAAAAGUUGACCCCUCUGAAAGUCUGUGACGCUUGGAUGGGAAAAGGGCCAGCUAAGCAUCGCAAAACAAUAAAGGUCACGUCCCUGUCACGCGUGGAAGUUGAGUCUAUUAUCAUCCACCUUUUGUUGCAUGGCUACUUCAGUGAGGACUUUAGCUUCACUCCUUACACAACACACUUCUACUUGAAGUUGGGCCGUAAGGCAGCUCUCCUGAAAAAUGGCAAUCACUCCAUCACUAUGAAGAUGAGGAGAGUGAUGUCACAUACUACUGUAAGAGUCAACAAAUCAUGUGCAAGUGGUCCUGUUUUUUUUUUUGUUUUUUUUUUCAAUGAUUCUAGCAAAUUCUAGAUUUCAACUUUUCUUAAUGGUUGGAUGAGCGCCAAUUCUUUCCUCAACUUCUUUCAGUAGUGACAAUCGGCCAGAUCCAAUCCAAACUCCUCCGAAAUUCUUUUAUUUAUUACAUUUAUGCUACUUGGUAACAAAAAUAUUUAUUGGGUCUGCUCAAUUUUAACUGAACAUUCGUGUAAUUAAGAGUUGUGUAUCAAAUUUGAGAGUAUAUGUAUUGGAUCUGGCCUUAGGUCUCAGUUCCGUAGUAUUUGCUGAUCUUUUGUGUUUAUCUGUAUUAUUAUUAUUAUUCCUCUUCUAGUCUUAUUGUGUUUCAGGUAGAUGCCAUCAGAGUAUUUGAAAGCUGCAUCACAGUUCACUUAGUUAAAAUGCUUUUUAAUAACUAGUAACUAACACGUUCAUAAAGUGUUUGCCUAACUUGGUUUCCAACAUUUUAAUGUUAAUACCAACCUACACAAAAAAAAAAAGUUACAAAUUAUUUAUUUUAGACUUAUACUGGAGAUCAUACUGUAUUCUAAACUUCUCUUGAUAAAUCAGAGAAAACCACUCCAAAAGUACAUUAUCUCCAAAAAGUGAAGGAUUUCAGAAAAUCAUUGUGGCCCAGUUGAUUGCAAACCAAAUUGGACUUAUUUCCGAUUAAAUGGCUCACAGAGUAUGCAUUUAUCACCCUUUAAACAACCCUGUCCCAGCAGUCAUGGCGUAGUUGGAUCAGCUACAUCAUCUAAUACAAGCCUUUUCGCAUCAUGAGUGAAACCUCUUCUCUUGGGAGUGUCGCUGUAGCUACAUGAUCCAUCACUGAACAUGUAGUAACCUCUGGUAAAGAAAGUGUCAGAAACUGUUCGGGAGAAAAGUAGCGCCAAAGUAGAAGGAAAAAGACCGGCUGACAGUGACAAGAAAAAAUCAGUGGCCAAGAAAGUCAA